rnacentral:rRNA from 1 species
CGCCUGCCCNNUGACAUUAGUUUAACGGCCGCGGUAUCCUGACCGUGCAAAGGUAGCGUAAUCACUUGUCUUUUAAAUGAAGACCCGUAUGAAAGGCACCACGAGAUUUUACCUGUCUCCCUUCUUUAAUCAGUGAAAUUGAUCUGUCCGUGCAGAAGCGGACAUAUAGACAUAAGACGAGAAGACCCUAUGGAGCUUUAAAUAAUAUAUUAAUAAAAUAAAUUUAUAAUCCUUAGGGAAUAAAAAAAGAAUUUAAUAUAAUAAAAUUAUUUUUGGUUGGGGCAACCACGGGGUAUAAUAUAACCCCCGUAUCGAUUGGGCAUAAUUAUGCCUAAAAAAUAGAACUACAAUUCUAUUUAAUAAAAUAUUUAACGAGCAAUGACCCAGAAAUAUCUGAUCAAUGAACCAAGUUACCCUAGGGAUAACAGCGCAAUCCUUUUCCAGAGUCCAUAUCGACGAAAGGGUUUACGACCUCGAUGUUGGAUCAGGACAUCCUAAUGGUGCAAUCGCUAUUAAGGGUUCGUUUGUUCAACGAUUA